rnacentral:rRNA from 1 species
GAAGGGGGCUAGCGUUGUUCGGAAUUACUGGGCGUAAAGCGCGCGUAGGCGGCUUUGCAAGCCAGAGGUGAAAUGCCUGAGCUCAACUUAGGAAUUGCCUUUGGGACUGCGAGGCUUCGAGGACUGGAGAGGUGAGUGGAAUUCCCAGUGUAGAGGUGAAAUUCGUAGAUAUUGGGAAGAACACCAGUGGCGAAGGCGGCUCACUGGCCAGUUUCUGACGCUAAAGUGCGAAAGCGUGGGGAGCAAACAGGAUUAGAUACCCUGGUAGUCCACGCUGUAAACGAUGAGUGCUAGGCGUCGGCACGCUUGCGUGUCGGUGCCGCAGCUAACGCGUGAAGCACUCCGCCUGGGGAGUACGGUCGCAAGAUUA